rnacentral:rRNA from 1 species
GACGAACGCUGGCGGCGUGCUUAACACAUGCAAGUCGAACGGAAAGGCCCUGCUUUUGUGGGGUGCUCGAGUGGCGAACGGGUGAGUAACACGUGAGUAACCUGCCCUUGACUUUGGGAUAACUUCAGGAAACUGGGGCUAAUACCGGAUAGGAGCUCCUGCUGCAUGGUGGGGGUUGGUAAGUUUCGGUGGUUGGGGAUGGACUCGCGGCUUAUCCGCUUGUUGGUGGGGUAGUGGCUUACCAAGGCUUUGACGGGUAGCCGACCUGCGAGGGUGACCGGCCACGUUAGGACUGAGAUGCGGCCCAGACUCCAACGGGAGGCAGCGGAGGGGAAUAGUACACAAGAGGCGGAAGCCUGAUGCGGCAACGCAGCGUGGGGGAAGACGGGCUGCGGGUUGUAAACCGAUGUCGCCUGUGACGAAGCGAGAGUGACGGUAAUGGGUAAAGAAGCACCGGCUAACUACGUG